rnacentral:rRNA from 1 species
CCUACGGGAGGCAGCAGUGGGGAAUCUUGCGCAAUGGGCGAAAGCCUGACGCAGCCAUGCCGCGUGAAUGAUGAAGGUCUUAGGAUUGUAAAAUUCUUUCACCGGGGACGAUAAUGACGGUACCCGGAGAAGAAGCCCCGGCUAACUUCGUGCCAGCAGCCGCGGUAAUACGAAGGGGGCUAGCGUUGCUCGGAAUUACUGGGCGUAAAGGGAGCGUAGGCGGACAUUUAAGUCAGGGGUGAAAUCCCGGGGCUCAACCUCGGAAUUGCCUUUGAUACCGGGUGUCUUGAGUAUGAGAGAGGUGUGUGGAACUCCGAGUGUAGAGGUGAAAUUCGUAGAUAUUCGGAAGAACACCAGUGGCGAAGGCGACACACUGGCUCAUUACUGACGCUGAGGCUCGAAAGCGUGGGGAGCAAACAGGAUUAGAUACCCUGGUAGUCCACGCCGUAAACGAUGAUUGCUAGUUGUCGGGAUGCAUGCAUUUCGGUGACGCAGCUAACGCAUUAAGCAAUCCGCCUGGGGAGUACGGUCGCAAGAUUAAAACUCAAAGGAAAUUGACGG